GGGAAUGAGUCCAGCAUUUAUCUGCGUCUGGCCCGCUCCACUCUUCUCCUCAUUCCUCUAUUUGGAAUUCACUAUACCGUGUUUGCUUUCACACCAGAAGAUGUCAGCAAAAGAGAAAGACUUGUGUUUGAACUUGGUCUUGGUUCUUUUCAGGGUUUUGUAGUAGCUGUUCUUUACUGCUUUCUUAAUGGAGAGGUGCAGUCAGAAAUCAAACGAAAAUGGCGCAGCUGGACGGUGAACCGGUACUUUGCGGGGGAUAUAAAGCGCAGGCAUCCGUCCCUGGCCAGCAGUGGUGUGAAUGGGGGCACACAGCUCUCCAUCCUCAGCAAGAGCAGCUCACAGAUCCGCAUGUCCAGCCUGCAGGCUGAAACACCGGCCACAUGAGCGCUCAGAGGAACAGACAGAAGGCCAAACUCCUCAGAACUAGAGCGACAAAAUAAUCUACGUCAACAUCUGAGUCCUGUUUCAUCUUUUGAGUCUGUAUUGUGUCGGUUGAAGCUGUAAUAUCUGUCAACCGUCCAUAAAUGACAGGCUUUUGCUAUGGAACUCUGAGGAGCUCACAACCAUUGGUCUAUUUUGUGCCAAGCAAACAUGGAUACUUUGAUGUGGACUUGUGGAUGAAUCAGAAUUGAUCUGAACUGAAAGGAAUUACAGGCCAAGGGGAAAUAAGGAAUCCAUAGCAUAUCUAGUAUUUAGGAUGUUUUCAUCCAGAAAGCUGAAGGUCGUGAAUAAGUUGGAUAUUUUUGUACAUAUCAACAUCACACGAGUCUCUCAUAAUCUCGUUUCUCUGUCUGUGAAGAUUUGUGACAGUUCGAGAUUCUCAAUAUUUUAUUGUCAAAGCAUCAUCGAAGAAGAUGAAGACAGUAGCCGACCUCACCGCAAUGGGAUGUGGGACAUGCACAGUCAUUUUUGAAGGAGAAGAAACCACAUAUUUCACACAGGAGCUUAAUGAAUAACUGAUCCCCAGUUCCUAAUACCAAUUUAAUAUGUAAAUAUUUUCAUAUGUUGUAAUUGUAGAAUGAAGGACUGAAGGAAAAUCAAGUUUAAGGACUACGAAGUUUAAGGAUCCACAUUGUGGAUGCUUCUUGGGCGCAGUGUUGAAAUUUUUUACCCAGUCAAAACUAACAUUAGCAAAGAAAAACUAGCAUUUGAAACCUCAUUAAAACAGUGAGUAACUUAACUUGUCAAUUUGUUUUCAUGAGUAGAUUCCUCUUGUACUUGUACUUGUGCUCCUAUUUUUUUAAACAGCCGCUAGUACAGAAAAUGUCAGUUAGAAUGCAACAAUGGAACAAAGUUCAUGCCGCAAUGUUUGGCAUAUUAAUAUAUAACUGGGUAAUAUGGGUGUAAUAGAUUUGUAAUAUGCAUGUUGAUUCCUCCCCCACACACUUCUAUGACUACUAGCUGUCAUACAGUUAAUUUACAGCAAAGAAUUAUGAAACUUUACACUCAUAUCAAUAAAUAAAUUCUUUAUAAGCAAUUUUUUUCUGUUUAAAGGCUGAGCAUUUUCUUGUAGCUCUUCUGACUCAUAAUAUUUGAUCUUUUGCUCAUUUUGUAAUUUAAUGUCAUAAAAGCAUUUACAAAUAGAGCACUUUUAAGAUUCCAAAGAAGAUUUUUUUGAGUAUUUGACCUCUUAAGACGUCAUUUGCCGUACAAGUUUGCAAGUCUUUGCAACUGAUGUCACUGCAUACGAAGAUGUUUUUUGCUUCUUCAAAGUGCCUUUUUUGCACAAAAGAGACAACUGUUUGGUUUGACAAAGACAAACUGCAACACAUAACUGCAUCCCUCUGUGAAAGUGCUUUUAUUAUGCUUCAGCAAACCAAGAGGCCUUCAGAGAAAUCAAGCUAG